GAAUUGCAGUAAAAUAAUAUAAAUUUCCUAGCAAAAACAAUUGUGUGAUAAUCUGUGUUUUAAUACCCAGGAGUAGAAGUAUUGGAAAGAAUAUUGUAUUGGCUUGGAUCGGAAUCAUCGGAUUAUCCCAGGGCGUCGAUGCUUAUCAAUUGACAAUACACUACUCACGGUGUUUUUCAGUCUGGUUGCACUGUAGUCUCGUCAUACCAGCGCAAGGCAAAUAUCACGACGCACAGAUAAUGUCGACCCAAAUGUGAACGGAGAAACGCCAACGCGCAAUUUAAUAUUGGUAUGUAAUUAAAGUUAUUUGCGCAAACAUAUAUUUGUCAGCAUUUCUAAGGGUUAUAUUUUUUCAACGCAUGUUGUUGAAGGCAAGUGUGAGCUUAUUUGUUGAUAUGAUUCAUAUGACCCAACAACGUCAUUUAUUCUUACAAUGUAGCAUAAAAUACGUACAUUUCUUUUGUAAGAUCAAACUCAUGACGUCCUGGGAAUAAAAAACUCAGACGAGCGGAGUACAUUCGAAAUUUCGCCUUUGUUUAUUUGCGGUAGCGAGUAAUGUUCUUGAACCACGCAUUAGGAAAUAACAGGUUUAUGUUAUCCCUGUGAAUUUUCUGAUGUAUUAUAAGUCGAGUUAGGUAGAUAGUUGAGAAAAAUGUAAUUAAAAGAGGUGAGGACUGUAUCCUUGAAGAAAGGUCAUUGAGCUAUUUAUUCAUCAUCGUUGUCUUUGAUCUUAGAAUAGGUUAAUAGUUUGAAGUGAAAUUAUUUGCAUCAUUUUUAGUUAUUUGAUAAUUGCACUUUAUAUUAUUCAUCUGCAAAUAUUGUCCAUUGGUAUCAUUGGUAUUUACUAUUUCAACUGGGAUCAAAUCAUAAAUAUUUUCUGUCGUUUUUAACAAACAUUUGUCGUUCUCUCGCAAGAAUUUAACCGCCAAGGGAAUAUAUCUUGCUAAUCACGCAUGCUGGGCGAUGAAACAUGUAAGUCGAUAUUAUAGUAUCAUGCAGUGAUCUCAAGAUCAUAUCCUGCUCAAACGUCGCCUAUGGCUAUUCAGAUUUUUUUUCACUUUUUGAAACUGCUGUGCAUGUAUAUAUAAUUGUAUAUAUUGUAAUUUUCGCUGUACAGAACCCCCAAAUUUCAAACUAUUACCAAGUAUAUGGUUCCUACAUCAAAGAUAAAUACUCAUAUUCAGCUUUGCAUUCAAAUAUAAAGCCAAUAAUAAUAAUAAUAAUAUAAUUCUCUAUUCAAUUAAUUCAAAUAUGAAAUAUAAAGCCAAUAUUUGUAUAAAGGCAGUGAAUGUUUGGAAUUGUUUUAAAGAGUCUACAAAGUUAAGUGCUGUCUACAGCUCGACAGCUGCCGAGCUGCGAACUCCAGUCAAAGUUUGAUGAAUCAAAAUGCGAGGACUAGCGUGAAAUCUAGUCCAGUCCUCAUAGUCGGAUUUGAAAUAUUACAUUUCAGUACGAAUAAAUCAUUACUGAAAGAAUAAAGUGAGGUGAAUUAAUUUUGAUCCAGUCCAAGGACUGAAUUAAUUUUGAUCCUAGGACUGGAUCAGUAUACUGCACCAGGUAUCCAGUAUUAUUAUAUGAGCAAAAUAAAGCAAUACGGUUGGCAAAUUUACUCAUGAAUUAUUAAUGAGAUAUACAUUCCUCAGGUAGUUGUAUCUCUCUCAAUCCGCAGCUGUCUUGUUAUCAUCGCUACCUCCACUGGCACAGCCGAUCAUUCAAGAUUGUCUGCAGCUAAGAGCUUGAUGUUAAAGUGGCAUCUUCUGUGAUUAUAGUCGCGUUAGCCUUUUGGCCAUACUCUUGAGUCUUGGCGAAUAACAUUGUUUACAGUACUCAGCAGUGGCGUCUCCAGUGGUGAAAGUAGGGUGGACAAACGAGCGCCAAAGGUGCAAUAAUAUGUACACAAUAAGUUUCGCAAAAGAAGUCCUGUAAAUGCCAUUUCCUGCAUUGCAAGAAACGUUUUCUAUAUAUAGUUGCAUCAUGUUUCGAAAGGUUUAUUUAUACACCAACACUUGAUUUGAACCCCCAAUAUUUUCUCAAGGAAAUUAGAGAAGGAAAAAAUCUGUCUUGGGGGAAAACUGGAGUGGACAUGCUAACCUAGUUCACCCUGUGGCGACGCCACUGGUACUCAGUAAGAUUGGUAAAUUCAUGAAGUCAAGAAGACAAUCUUGAAAAGACAACCACUGUGUUUUGCUUUUCUUCGGGAUUUGAAAAGGGCCUUUCAUGCAGUUCGUCAAUAACUGAAUUGUUAACAUGCCUCGUGGUUGGAGAAAUGUUGACAAUGUAAAUAUUGGGAGUUAGAAUGCAUCAUCGAGGGGGCAAAUCACUCCAAACAUCUCGUACACGUCGACGAAAUGUUUGUAAAAGUCCUAAAAAGCCAUGUAAAAUACUUAAUGACAAGUAUUCAAAUCAUGAAAAUCUCAAGUAUAUACGACCAAAAUGAAUGAGUAAACACUCGAACAUCUGACAGAUCCGGUAAUCUGUCUGCGACUGAUAUCUUAGACAACUCCUGAAAUAAAACUGAUACGGAUUCUGACGACUGCUGUGGUAUGAAUAUUUCUUUUUUUUAUCAUGUAUUAGGAGAAAGGCUAUAUAAAAAAGGCCUAAUCGGGUUAAUCCCUCGAGGUCAACGAGCGUUUUUUCCUCAUUUCUACGCAUAAGCAGUAUAUAUUAAGCUUACGUUUCAUCAGGAGUCAUUUAGUUCUACACCUUGUGAAAGUGAAAAAAGUGGGAAAAUUCAAUAGAGACUCUCAUGUGCAACCAUCAAUAUUUCGCAGACGCAACUUAAUUCUCGCAACAAAUUUCGCCGCAGAGCUUUGUCAGAAUAUUGAAAACGCGUUAGGACUUUAGCAGUGGAGUGACCCUCGACGUGCGGCAUGGGCAGACAACACACUACAAAACAUUUGACUCAAAAACUUUGGUAAAAUAAUGCAUGCAGUGACACAACAUUGUGAGUAAAAUUACAGUCAAAUGACAAAUGUAAUUAUGCAUUUAUGAGCUAAUUCACUUAUUUUUUGAGUAAAGUAAAUCUUUUAAUCCAGUUAAAGUAAACCUUGAUUCAAAAAAUUGAGUAAAUUCGAAACUUACUGAAAAAAUUGAGUACAUUCGCUCAUAAAUUUGAGUUAUUUUACUCAAAAUUCUGUGGUUGCAUUAGUUAAUUUACUCAAGUUUUUGAGUCAAAUACUUGGGGAUUUUUUGCAGUGCAAGAGUACGAUGCAUGCUAACUAUAGACAUAGUGUACGACAUUAGUCCUUAGACUAGGGAAGGAUUAUAAUAUUAUUCUCAUCAAGGGUUACUCCGGCAAGACUCAAGAAAUCAGUUUUAAAAAAUCAGAGAUUUUAUUACGCCUGAUACUUAGUAUUUGUAAUGUACGAGUCAAAUCCAACCGCGAUCAGCCCCCCGGGCAACCCCAGGUCAUUUGACUUAACAUUACCCCCGUAUAGGCGGGAACUUGACAGCCCGGCAUUUGAUCACUUGACAACAACUUGCUCAGCAGUCUUCCCUAAAAAUAUGUGUACAUUCUAGCGCUUUACGAGUUUUCUAUUUUGCGUCUUUUCGAUAGUUUGAAAAUUGCUUCUGAAUCACAAACAUCAAUCAUAGAUAUUUGAUACAAUAUGCUCAGUUGAACAAAAAGAAGAACUGUCUGGCCUAUUUUUCGUUCUUUUUAAUCUUGAAAUACUUGUUCAAUUUAAUUUUAGUCAAAAUUCCAGAAACAGGACUACCCCUAUAGCAGGGCAUUUGACUGUGGUUUCUGCCUGUUCGGGCGGGCAUUUGACCAAUUAUUUUUUCAAAAGUCAAAUUCCCCGGUGGUUGCCCGGGGGGGCCUGAUCGCGGUUGGAUUUGACUCGUACAUAAUAAUACACUAAUUAGCCACAGUUAGUCUCACUUUGUCUUUGUCCACACCACAAUAAUAUUAUUCGUACAAACAGUUUCGUUAUGUUUUUUUUUACAACAUUGGAAUACAAAGUUAGCGAAGCGUGCAAUUGCUGUUAUUCAGUUAUAUGGAUAACCACGGAACUGACGCAAGUAACAAAAUGUAACCAACACUGUCGUGUAAAAUCAAUUACAGUUUUUACAGUGAAGCCCAUCGGCAAGACAAGACAAGAAGUUUGAACGCAUUUAUAUAUCCUAUGCCAUGGUAAUUGCUGUUAGUAACACUUAUAACUUACUGUUUUUAUUUUUCCCAAGGUUCGUUGUUUCUGCCGUUUUCCAAGAAUUGUUAACAAGAUGUUUUUGUCAUGGCUAAAGGUUAUCGUUCUUCUAACCACAACACAUGAAAUAAAUGGACAAGGCAGGUUACUUUCUUUAAACAUCAUGCAUGGGCAGGGGCGUAGGAAGCAUCGAAAGAUUGGGGGGGCACCGACUUCUAGGGGCACUUUAGGGUAUUGAAAAGGGCACCUAAAUUUUUCCCGGAAAUGUUGGCGACGGGGGGGGGGAAGAAGAAAAAUUUUCUCGUCGUACCAUACCGAAAUUUCACGCUUUUGACCAAAUUUUUUUUAAAAACUUGGAAAGUUCCAAACAAAAUUGGCACUUUUGAUGUUAAUUUAGUGUUUACAGUGACAUUAGCUUGCACAAAAAGGGCACUUUUCAUCACAAAAAAGAGCACUUUUAGUCCUUUGAAAAAAUUGGGGGGGCACCCCGUUCCUACGCCCCUAUGCAUGGGGAUUUUAAGAUUUGCCUUUUAAGCGCAGUUAUAUACUGAUACCUGCUCGUCUUAAGGGUGGAACGCAUGAACUUUACGUGAGUGGAACAUUUUCCGCAGAAAGAAAAUUUUGUAAAAUGUGAUUGGCCGACACAAAUUUUCCGUUGGAAAAAAAUUUUCUGGUUGAAAAUUUUCAACCUUUAACAAUGACAUUUUCGGAAAAUUUUCUGUCCGUGGAAAUUUUUCUUGAGUGGAAAUAGGCCUUUAGGGGCGGGAAAAUUCCCGUUCUCCCACUUUAAUUUUCCCGCCCACAAGUCCUUUCCCAAAAAAUUGGCUGCUACACAGGAUAAUUGCCGGGAAUAUUUGGUUAUUUGGUCCGUCUCUAACAAUAACUCACGGUGGCAUGUCGGUACUUUCAUCCCAGCAAUCUAGCCAGGAGUGAGUCUAGUUUGUAGUUAAACAUAGUUAACUCUAACUGUAUACAACAUUAUGAUUAACGUCUUAAUGGGAUAUUUUAUUGUUUUUUUCAACAGUUUUAGGCAAGGGUUUAAAGGUUCUUCCCGAAGGUGGUUAUUUUCAAGAGAACGAGAAAGUUACUUUGUCUUGCGUCUCAUCCACUAGCCUGCAAUCUUGGCCUACGGCAGUAUCUUGGUACAAGAAUAACAUGAUUAUUCUUUCGGAUAAUAAUGAUGUGUUCAUAGAUAAUGAUGGAUCAUUGACUAUCACGAGGUUUCAGUCACAUGAUGAGGGUUAUUAUGAAUGCGAGACGAAUAGAGGAGAAUACAGGCAAA
rnacentral:lncRNA from 1 species